AGGAUUUUUUUUCGAACCGAAGCUCGCUCUCUCUUCAUUACAAGCGAAACGUCUCUCCUCUUGAGGUUUUGAAGAUUCCGAAACCCUCCUCUUUUGGCGGAGGUUUCUCAUUGUUCCUUCCUAAUCAGAGGAUGGUUGUUUAUGGAGUUGAGAAGAAUUUGGAUGAGCUGAAAAUGAAAGAUCCUUGUUUGGAGAACAAACAAUCAACAGCUUCAAACUCUUCUGUUUCUGAGGGUAAUGGAAGUUUUACUACUAAAUCUCCUGGAAUAUGCAUCAGCACUAUGCCUACCUCUCCAUUACAUAGGAGGACUACUGGCCCAAUUAGAAGAGCUAAGGGGGGAUGGACUCCUGAGGAGGAUGAUACAUUGAGAAGUGCUGUUGCAGUUUUCAAGGGAAAAUGCUGGAAGAAAAUAGCUGAAUUCUUCCCUGAUAGAUCAGAAGUACAAUGUCUGCAUAGAUGGCAGAAAGUUCUCAAUCCUGACCUUGUUAAAGGACCUUGGAGAAGAGAGGAAGAUGAUAAGAUCGUUGAAAUGGUCUCAAGGUAUGGGCCUAUGAAAUGGUCUGUCAUAGCAAAAGAAUUACCAGGGCGUAUUGGAAAACAGUGCCGUGAGAGGUGGCACAAUCAUCUGAAUCCUGACAUUAAAAAAGAGGCUUGGACCCUGAAGGAAGAACUAGAACUCAUGAAUGCCCACAGAAUAUAUGGAAACAAAUGGGCUGAAAUCGCCAAAGUGCUACAUGGAAGGACUGACAAUGCAAUAAAGAAUCAUUGGAACAGUUCCUUAAAGAAGAAACUAGAUUUCUAUUUGGAAACUGGGAACCUUCCACCAGUUGCAAAAAAUGGUGACCAGAUGAGGGCAAAAGAAAUAAUAAAUAGAACCACCAGCUCAACCAGAAAAUCCAUGGAUAAAGGAUCGGAGUCAACUGCUCAAAUGUCAACUGCAACUACUACUACUAUUACUACUACUACUACUACUGCAGAGGCUAAUAAGAUGGAAGCUGAUAGUAAAAAUCAAUUUGAUUCGUGUUACGUUUCCCCAACAAAUGAAUCUCGUGAUGUAGAGAUGAUGUCAUCUGAACUAAGGAUUAUGCCGGCUUACCAUUCAUUUUUCUAUGAGCCACCCAAUUCUCUAAAUCCAAUUACAUCACCUAUGGACUACUUGACUCCCUCAAAUGUUAAAAAUGGCAAUCAUCUUCGUUUACAGAGUCCUGAAUCUAUCUUGAGAGUAGCAGCAAGAAGCUUCCCCAACACACCAUCUAUAAUAAGGAAGAGAAAGUCAAAAUUCAUAACUCCGCUUACCAACUUUUCUAAUAAGGAAGCAAUAGAGAACAUUAAUUCUUUCAUUUCUGGAUUAGAAGAUGGAAGCUCUUGUGGUACUACUACUCCACAUCAUCUUGGUAAAAGUUCUGAUGGAAUGGCAUUUAAUGCAUCUCCUCCUUAUCGGUUGAAGUCCAAAAGAACUGCUGUAAUCAAGUCAAUAGAAAAGCAACUUGAGUGCGCAUUCAACAAAGAGUGCAACAAUGAUGGUACUGUUAAACCUAUUGCCACCAUUAUGACAGGUAGCUGCUCUCCUACUGCAAAAGGUUCCUCACAAAGAUCGUAGAACACUUUCAGGUUUCGAAGGCUUGAUAUGCUGUUAAAGAUUAGGGAUUCUUAUAAGAGGCAACUUCUUUCCAACCCAGUUAAAGAAGAGGAAUUGAGGAAUGAUGGAGAGGAAGAGGAAGAGACAAUGUUCAACUCAUAACUAAGGAUUUGUUUGAGUUUUGUAGUAGAGAAGAGUAGAUGGAAGAAGAGAACACGAGAAAGCAAUGUGCAUUUAAAUGAAGGGCAUGGGAGAAAUUUCUUAGCCAAGAUAGAAUGUGCAACUCUAUUGGUAUUCAUUCUAUAAUUCAUUUAGGUUAGACAAUUGAGGUACUUAUUUUGUUUUUUUAUAAAUAUAAUUUUUAUGUUUUUAAAGAAUAUUUGAGAUAUAUAAUAUUUUCAAUUUCCACUAAA